rnacentral:rRNA from 1 species
GAUGAACGCUGGCGGCGUGCCUAAUACAUGCAAGUCGAGCGAAUGGAUUAAGAGCUUGCUCUUAUGAAGUUAGCGGCGGACGGGUGAGUAACACGUGGGUAACCUGCCCAUAAGACUGGGAUAACUCCGGGAAACCGGGGCUAAUACCGGAUAACAUUUUGAACCGCAUGGUUCGAAAUUGAAAGGCGGCUUCGGCCGUCACUUAUGGAUGGACCCGCGUCGCAUUAGCUAGUUGGUGAGGUAACGGCACACCAAGGCAACGAUGCGUAGCCGACCUGAGAGGGUGAUCGGCCACCCUGGGACUGAGACACGGCCCAGACUCCUACGGGAGGCAGCAGUAGGGAAUCUUCCGAAAUGGACGAAAGUCUGACGGAGCAACGCCGCGUGAGUGAUGAAGGCUUUCGGGUCGUAAAACUCUGUUGUUAGGGAAGAACAAGUGCUAGUUGAAUAAGCUGGCACCUUGACGGUACCUAACCAGAAAGCCACGGCUAACUACGUGCCAGCCGCCGCAGUAA